CAGUCGCCGCGGGAAUACGUAGGGUGCGAGCGUUGUCCGGAAUUAUUGGGCGUAAAGAGCUUGUAGGUGGUUUGUCGCGUCUGCUAUGAAGAUCCGGGGCUCAACCUCGGACUUGCAGUGGGUACGGGCAGACUAGAGUGUGGUAGGGGAGACUGGAAUUCCUGGUGUAGCGGUGGAAUGCGCAGAUAUCAGGAGGAACAUCAGUGGCGAAGGCGGCCACCUGGGACAACACUGACGCUGAGGCACGAAAGCGUGGGGAGCAAACAGGAUUAGAGACCCCAGUAGUCCCUGUCUCUUAUAC
rnacentral:rRNA from 1 species